CGUGGAGCUCCCGUGUCAUACA
rnacentral:miRNA from 1 species